rnacentral:rRNA from 1 species
UACGUAGGCAGCAAGCGUUGUUCGGAGUUACUGGGCGUAAAGGGUGCGUAGGCGGCUCUAUAAGUAUGGUGUGAAAUCUCCCGGCUUAACUGGGAGGGUGCGCUAUAGACUGUGGGGCUAGAGUGCGGGAGAGGAAAGUGGAAUUCCUGGUGUAGCGGUGAAAUGCGUAGAUAUCAGGAGGAACAUCGGUGGUGUAAACGGCUUUCUGGACCGUAACUGACGCUGAUGCACGAAAGCGUGGGUAGCAAACAGG